GACGAACGCUGGCGGCGUGCUUAACACAUGCAAGUCGAGCGGAGCGGCGAACGGGUGAGUAACGCGUGAGUAACUGCCCCCCUCUCUGGGAUAACAGUUGGAAACGGCUGCUAAUACCGGAUAGUGGGGGAUGACUCGCGUCCUAUCAGCUGGUUGGUGGGGUAGUGGCCUACCGAGGCGCCGAAGGGUAGCCGGCCUGAGAGGGCGACCGGCCACAUGGGGCUGGUAUACGGCCCAAACUGCUACGGGAGGCAGCAGUGGGGAAGAUUGCACAGUGGUGGACACGCUGAUGCAGCAACGCGCGUGCGGGAUGACGGCCUUCGGGUUUGAAACCGCUUUCAGCCAUGACGCGGUAGUGGCAGAAGAAGCACCGGCUAACUACGUGCCAGCCGCCGCGGUAAUAC
rnacentral:rRNA from 1 species